CUACGGGCCGCAGCAGUGGGGAAUCUUAGACAAUGGGGGAAACCCUGAUCUAGCCAUGCCGCGUGAGCGACGACGGCCCUAGGGUUGUAAAGCUCUUUCAGCAGGGAAGAUAAUGACGGUACCUGCAGAAGAAGUCCCGGCUAACUCCGUGCCGAGCAGCCGCGGUAAUACGGAGGGGACUAGCGUUGUUCGGAAUUACUGGGCGUAAAGCGCGCGUAGGCGGAUUGUUAAGUCGGGGGUGAAAUCCCGGGGCUCAACCCCGGAACUGCCCUCGAUACUGGCAGUCUUGAGUUCGAGAGAGGUGAGUGGAAUUCCGAGUGUAGAGGUGAAAUUCGUAGAUAUUCGGAGGAACACCAGUGGCGAAGGCGGCUCACUGGCUCGAUACUGACGCUGAGGUGCGAAAGCGUGGGGAGCAAACAGGAUUAGAUACCCGGGUAGUC
rnacentral:rRNA from 1 species